rnacentral:lncRNA from 1 species
GGAACUGCAACCAGUUGCAAAAAUAAGAAUAUCUUCUAUUUUUGCAGAUUUACCAUCCUCAAUAGUCUAUUUGAAUGGAGACCAAACAGAGCAAGAAAAACCCAAGGAGAGACCCUGCCCAUGAGGGUCUAGUGGAGGAGCAUCAUGUAUUCGAAAGGGAUCAGUCAAGAUGAUAAUCGAGUUGAAUUCUGCUGGGAAGCAGCCGGUAGAGUCUAGCCUCUGCUCAAGGUUGUGGGAUUGAUGACUGACUCUUCCCUCAGCAACUGUCACAUCCCAGGCCCCCGCACUGCAGGAGCUCCCUGCCUCUUUCCUUUUAGUCAGACUCCUGCCCUUCCUCAGGCUGACUGAGA